GCUUACACAUGCAGUCGAACGAUGACUUUUGUGCUUGCCAAAAUGAUUAGUGGCGAACGGGUGAGUAACACGUGAGUAACCUGCCCUUGACUCUGGGAUAAGCCUGGGAAACUGGGUCUAAUACUGGAUAUGCACCGUGAACCGCAUGGUUUUUGGUGGAAAGAUUUAUUGGUCAAGGAUGGACUCGCGGCCUAUCAGCUUGUUGGUGAGGUAAUGGCUCACCAAGGCGACGACGGGUAGCCGGCCUGAGAGGGUGACCGGCCACACUGGGACUGAGACACGGCCCAGACUCCUACGGGAGGCAGCAGUGGGGAAUAUUGCACAAUGGGCGAAAGCCUGAUGCAGCGACGCCGCGUGAGGGAUGACGGCCUUCGGGUUGUAAACUUCUUUCAGUAGGGAAGAAGCGAAAGUGACGGUACCUGCAGAAGAAGCGCCGGCUAACUACGUGCCAGCAGCCGCGGUAAU
rnacentral:rRNA from 1 species